ACAUGCAUACAUAUAUAAAUUGAACUGCCAUAACAGUAACACACAGGGGUUUUCUUGAAAGUCCUGCGCUUACUAAAAUAUUUCUUUCAUUUUCAUAAAGUCGAUCGGCCGAUCAUUUUCCUUCAUAUGAUCCAUAUCUGUUCCUUUCUGUCACGCGCCGGGAAGGAGGCCUCCUUACCACGGACGCCAAGACCGGUCGCAAGCGACUCGCGGUCUCCAUAAGUGUACACGUUAACCCUAGCUAGC
rnacentral:lncRNA from 1 species